GACGAACGCUGGCGGCGUGCUUAACACAUGCAAGUCGAACGGAAAGGCCCUGCUUGCAGGGUACUCGAGUGGCGAACGGGUGAGUAACACGUGGGUGAUCUGCCCUGCACUUCGGGAUAAGCCUGGGAAACUGGGUCUAAUACCGGAUAGGAGCCAUUUUUAGUGUGAUGGUUGGAAAGUUUUUUCGGUGUAGGAUGAGCUCGCGGCCUAUCAGCUUGUUGGUGGGGUAAUGGCCUACCAAGGCGGCGACGGGUAGCCGGCCUGAGAGGGUGGACGGCCACAUUGGGACUGAGAUACGGCCCAGACUCCUACGGGAGGCAGCAGUGGGGAAUAUUGCACAAUGGGCGCAAGCCUGAUGCAGCGACGCCGCGUGGGGGAUGACGGCCUUCGGGUUGUAAACUCCUUUCGCUAGGGACGAAGCUUUUUGUGACGAUACCUAGAUAAGAAGCACCGGCUAGCUACGUG
rnacentral:rRNA from 1 species